rnacentral:snRNA from 1 species
AGCUUUGCGCAGUGGCAGUAUCGUAGCCAAUGAGGUUUAUCCGAGGCGCGAUUAUUGCUAAUUGAAAUUAUUUUUGUGAAUGG